rnacentral:rRNA from 1 species
AACGAACGUUAGCGGCGCGCCUAACACAUGCAAGUCGAGCGAGAAAGGGCUUCGGCCCCGGUAAAGCGGCGCACGGGUGAGUAACACGUGGAUAACCUACCCCUUGGUGGUGGAUAACCUUCCGAAAGGAGGGCUAAUACAGCGUAAGACCACGACUUCGAAAGAGGUUGGGGUAAAAGUGGGCCUCUGUACACAAGCUCACGCCAGGGGAUGGGUCCGCGGCCCAUCAGCUAGUUGGUAGGGUAACGGCCUACCAAGGCGAAGACGGGUAGCUGGUCUGAGAGGAUGAUCAGCCACACUGGAACUGAGACACGGUCCAGACUCCUACGGAGGCAGCAGUGGGGAAUCUUGCGCAAUGGACGAAAGUCUGACGCAGCGACGCCGCGUGAGUGAUGAAGGCCUCGGUU